AAAAUCAUUGCGUUAGGAUGUAUUACUACGUUGGAAGUACGUCAUAUUCAUUAACUACGUAGUAAUUCAAUUUCGACUUUGCAACCAUUUCUGCGCUACGAUUAACUUCAUUUUAUUAAUUGUUGGCUGGUUGCAUGGAUGAAAUUGAGAGAAUAGGAAUUUGCAAUAUGGACGUCGCAGGUGACCUAUGAUCGAUGAUAAAUCGAAUUUGUGGAGACCAGUAGAGACGCCAUUGAUGAUUUACAGUCAACUCGUUAACAUUUCACGCAGGAUUUGGUUGUAAAACGCGAAGUUCCGUAAACUAAAGUUUUAAAACUUCCAAAGUUAAAUGUUAAAACAUAGGAAGAUACAUUUUGAAGCUUCUCGAAGCUGCGAGAGCUCAACCUUCAAGAGUGAAACUUCAAGGCUUCGAAAUCUGCAUUUUAACACUAUCCUUACAAGGCCCGAAGAAAUGAACGGUUUCAAAAUUUAAUUUAAAAUUGUACAUUCAUUGUUACUUCUUUUGCUCAUACAACUUUGUGUUAACUCUUAUAUUAUCUGAUUAAUCAGUUUCUCAAUUUUUGUUAAUAUAAGAAUUUACAUAAAGUUAGACGAACAAAAGAAAUAACAAUGAAUGUACAAUUUAAAAUCAAAUCUUGAAGCCGAGCCUGAUAACGUUUUAGUGUUAAAUCUGCGAAAACUAAAUGGGGAAGGAAAUUGCUAAAGAAAUCAGAAAACGAAAAGAGAACUACCUCUUGCUGCAAAGAUUACUCUCAACAACAGCGAAAUAAAAAGAAUCGUACAAUGGAAUUGUUUUAUUAGUAACAGCCUAAUCAGUAGAAUUAAUGUCUUAUCAGUAACAUGGCAGCUAUUUGAAAUUUCACAACAAUCUUGAGCAAGUCACUAUUAAUCGUUAUCAUAAGAUGAACCAAAAUUAUAAAUGACGCUAUUGCAAGAAUAAUGGCGAACAUGAUGCUAACAGCUGGUUUUUAUAAAUUAUAUCAACUUUCCGAUUUAUUCUCGUACGAAGAUAACAGACAACCGGAAGCGACGUGGAAACUCAUGCAGUUUGAUGCGAUCAAUUGUUCUCGAUGAUUCAUUCGGACCGAUCGAUCGACGUGACGUCGCGUAUUUCCAUCGUCUCGUCGUCCGCGUACGGCCUCUGUUGGUGAAGAUGGUUACCGGUGGUCCUUUCUUGCCUCGAAUUCGUUUCAGCGUUGUUGAAGUCGUCAGGAACCAAACGUAUGACGAAAUUGCUCCUCCAAUAACGGCGCCAUCUACGCCCGUGCAGUCUGAUAAUUUACACGGUCGCUUAACCAGGUUAUUAAGUUGUAUCGGUAAAUUAUUAACCAGAUAGAUUUAUAGAACAGGACUGGUAAAUAAGAUAAGAACCUGAUUACGAGCGUGAUUUAGUUAACGAAACUCGAUACGAUAAAUCUGCAUUGAAUUGGCAUAAUAUUUUUAUUUAAUGGUAUAAAUGAUAGUUGCGCUAUAGUAGUGAAUAAAUGGCAAUAUUGUAGUUGGACGCGGGGGCGAGGGGAGGUAAAGCGAUUCGAAACGAAAAAAAAGAUGAUGCGAGUUGUUUGAUGGAAUUCGUCAUCACAGUCGGACUAAUUUUCUUCCGCUAUGUAUAUAAAUAUUUGUAUGGAUUAUGGUUUGCAAACUUCUUUUCAGGUAACGUAAUAUCAUCGUGCAGGGAUGUGGUAAUUAACGCUAGAGCUACCGCUUGCGUAAUAAAUGUUCUGUAUUAUAAAUCUGUAUAAUUCAAAUGAUAUUAAUUCAUAUAGAAUCAAUAUUGAUUUCUGCAAAAUUAUCUGUAUGCCUGCGGUGAUUGUAAAAAGAAGCAAAUCUAAAAUCCGUCGUUUUUGAGGGUUCGAUGAUACGUCCAGUGUUAACAUUUUGGAACACUUGGCCGAAUUACUAUACAACUCCACGGUGAAAUCAAAUGUGAUUGAUUCUGUUGGAUUAUGUGUACAAAUAUCUAUGUUCAUUUUGUGCGGUCUGGGAAUUUCUUUUUUCUUUUUUGUUUUUUUUUUUUUUUUUUUUGAGGAAUAUAAUAUAAUACGUGAGGUGUAGAGACAGAGGAAAGGAAAGUGGUAAUGAACACACCUGGCCAGAGUAAUUAUCCAACCCCAGUAAGCGAUUAGAGUAAGGGAACAAGUGGGAAGCAUGGCAACGAUCAUCCAGGGCAUCUCUUGCAGACCUCUUUUUAGCAACAUUCUUAGAGCCAGGACACAGAUGUAGCAGGAGAACAGGGCUAGUGGCGUGGUGACUACUAGAUACAAUAUAUCUAGAAGCAUCUGGAAACAUAGCGUUUUCCUUUCAAUGAAUUAUAUUUGCGACAAGAAUUUGUAUUCUUCGAGAUAAUUUGAUUUAAUUUCAAAGGCAAAAAGCUUUGUAACAGAGCAUAUUCAGAAACAUAUUAUCACAACAUUUGCAUAUUACUUCAAAGAAUCAUUUUUAAUCAAAAAUUGGAUUGCAAUUAUUUUUUCUAAAGACGAGAUUUCGCCAAAGUUCUUCUGGAAAAGAAGGAUAAUGAAUUCAGUGAAAGAAUUUCUCCACGACAUAGUGGGAAAAUGAAAGUGAAAGUAGUAUCAUAGCGUAAGAUUAAUUGAUUCAAAGAAUGCUACUUAAUAAAAAUGGACUUUGAUGUUUCUCAUAAAAAUAUGGAAUGUUAUGAGAACAUGUUAUUGACUUAUAAUAUAAUGAUAAUGUGGAUCAUCUUUAGGUGGAUGGUGAAUGAUGAAUAUGUCUUACUUGUCGAGUCACUAUCACGGUAUUGAACCAUAUUACAACACUACGGAUGAUGUUGUGACGUGGUACUCUUUUAGUGGCGUACUUGUAGCCGCAAAGCUCGCAUCUAGAGUGACCCGAUUCUGUCAACCAUCUUUCAAGACAUUCUACGUGUACCAGCGCUACUGUCCCACGACACCUGUCACGUUUAUCCAAAAUAAUAAAUGCAUUUAAAUAUUCUAUAUCAAGAGUUAUCGUUCACUAAAUCAGUUUGAAGCUUGAAAAGAUUCUUACCUGAGAAUAUUGACGGAGAAAUUAAACAAUUGAGAAUGAAAUAAUAAAUGGAUCAAGAUAUUAUUUAAUCGAGAAUCAUCAAUCAUUAGAUCAGUUUGAAGCUACAAAAGUUCUUGGAACGUAUCGCAAGAAAGAAAAUUCUUACUCGAGAUCGUUGACAGAAAAAUUAGAUAAUCGAAAAUAAAAGGAGGAAGUAAGGAAUCCUUAAACACUGAAAAGUGCCAAGAAAACAGGAAAUUGAAUAAUUAGAAGCUCGAAGUAUCUAAAAUUUCCGUCAAAUGUAAGAAAUUUUUAAAGGAAUGUUUAGAAACGCGAGAAAAAUGCAACGCAAUUUCAACUUCAGAAAUUCUACUAACGGAUACAUCGACAAAUUUUCUGAAUCAUUCUCUUGGCAAAUCAGAAAUAUAUUUCUGAUUCUAUAAUUGCAUCAGAGCAUCGAUGUUAGUCUAUGGAAAAGAGUUAAGUAUUCGGUAGAUCGAACCUGAUAAUAUCUUAAUCUAGAUGUGACUCAAACUAUGUAUUCCUGUUAUUACAAGGUACAGUGUAGGAAUCCGAUUAGCCAGACAGAUAAAUUGUAGUGGACAUCGAUAAGCUCACUUGCAAGCUGAGAUCAAAGGGCCGAGAUACGCGUAGGACGAUAAUGUCGACGUUUGACUGUCAACUCCACGAAUAGGUUGGUUCUGUCUUUCGUAACUGGCUCGAUUCUCCUCGACCGUUGAGAAACUGCCCAUGUGGCAUAUUCGACAAAUAUCUCCGGACACCCGAGACUCUAUAAAGAAUUUUUUGAUAUUUUUUGGAAAUAAUAAAAUUCUUUAUGUAAGACGUGUUCGUUAUAAUAAUAUGGAAAAAUAAUGGAAAGGAGAUUGGAGAGAAAACUAAUAGAAACGAUAGAAAGGAUAGAAGAAGAAGAAAUGUACGAAAUUGACAUCCUGAAAGAAAUGUACAUCUUCGAAACCGUGAUGUCUGGAAUGUACUUCGAUUGAAACUUAAAAAAAUCAUCACCUGCUCCAUAUUACCAUGAACCUACCAUCAUCGCUCCCUUUCUG